rnacentral:rRNA from 1 species
AGAUACGGAGGUAGAGCACUGAAUGUCCUAGGGGGUAUUGCACCUACCGAAGACUAUCAAACUCCGAAUGCCGUCAUCUUAUACUUGGGAGUCAGACUGUGGGUGAUAAGAUUCAUAGUCGAAAGGGCAACAGCCCAGAUCGUCAGCUAAGGUCCCUAAAUGUAAGUUAAGUGGUAAAGGAUGUGGGAUUGCACAGACAACCAGGAUGUUGGCUUAGAAGCAGCCACUCAUUCAAAGAGUGCGUAAUAGCUCACUGGUCGAGUGAUCCUGCGCCGAAGAUUUCCGGGGCUAAAACUUACUACCGAAGCUACGGCAUCAGUAAUGAUGGGUAGGGGAGCUUCCCAUACGGGUUGAAGCAUGACCGUAAGGACAUGUGGACAGUAUGGGAGUGAGAAUGUUGGCAUGAGUAGCGAGAUGUGGGUGAGAA